GACCUAGACACCCUACACAUCUCAAUGUGCCAUGUUCUUCUGGGCACCACUGCACGUCACCACUUGGCGUGGUGGAAAGGGAGCAGAGGCCCGUUAAGGUUACAUGAGAGCAGCUGGAGCUGCUCUGCUCAGCAACCAUGCGCAGGUGAUGAGGGUUGGCCAGAGCCUGGCUCCCCUCCCCUCCAGAGGGGAUAAAAAGCCUUCCAGCUCGAGGGGGUACUUCAUAACAUGGCAGCAGGAACGGAGGAACUUUUAAGGCAAGGAAUGUUUCUGCAGAGCUGCAGGCUACUGCUAGUUGGUUUGCAAGAAGGCAAAGAUGGAGGCUGCCCUUUUGGUGAGAGUGGAAGGGAACCAGCGCUUUGCCAGGCAGGGGAAGAAGAGAGAGAUGAAAUCCCACUUAAAGAGAAGAGCAAUGCACAGCAAUUCCUGAACGCACCAAAUGACAAAGCUGCCCACCUGUCAGAACCAGAGAGGGGGUAGAUAUCGGUACCGUCCCAAAAGUCUGUGCAGGCCUCAAGGAUGAUGUCAGCUGUCCCAUGAGAAAACAUCUGUUCAG